rnacentral:rRNA from 1 species
UACGAAGGGGGCUAGCGUUGUUCGGAAUUACUGGGCGUAAAGCGUGCGCAGGCGGCUUCUCAAGUCAGGGGUGAAAGCCCAGAGCUUAACUCUGGAAUUGCCUUUGAGACUGAGAGGCUUGAGUACGGGAGAGGGGAGUGGAAUUCCCAGUGUAGAGGUGAAAUUCGUAGAUAUUGGGAAGAACACCGGUGGCGAAGGGGGCUCACUGGCCCGUAACUGACGCUCAUGCACGACAGCGUGGGGAUCAAACAGG